AUUCCAGCUCCAAUAGCGUAUAUUAAAGUUGUUGCAGUUAAAAAGCUCGUAGUCGGAUUUUGGCAUCACGCCGAACUGUCUGCCGAUUGGUAAGUACGGUUUGGCGGGUGCUUCCUUCCGGAGGCUCGUUCCCUUCUUCAUUGAAGGGUUCGUUGGUUCCGGGUCUUUUACUUUGAGAAAAUUAGAGUGUUCAAAGCAGGCCUAUGCUCUGAAUAGGUUAGCAUGGAAUAAUAGAAUAGGACUUUGGUUCUAUUUUGUUGGUUUCUAGGACCGAAGUAAUGAUUAACAGGGACAGUCAGGGGCACUCGCAUUCCGCCGAGAGAGGUGAAAUUCUUAGACCAGCGGAAGACGAACCACUGCGAAAGCAUUUGCCAGGGAUGUUUUCAUCG
rnacentral:rRNA from 1 species